rnacentral:rRNA from 1 species
CGGAUUGUAGUCUGCAACCCGACUACAUGAAGCUGGAAUCGCUAGUAAUCGCGGAUCAGAAUGCCGCGGUGAAUACGUUCCCGGGUCUUGUACACACCGCCCGUCACGCCAUGGGAGUCGGAAAUGCCCGAAGUCUGUGACCCAACCUGCAAGGGAGAGAGCAGCCGAAGGCAGGUCGGAUGACUGGGGUGAAGUCGUAACAAGGUAAC